rnacentral:tmRNA from 1 species
GGGGCUGAAUUUUAAGCUCGACGUUAGUUUAACAAGUUGGCAUGGCAAGCGGGGCUGAUCUGCACCUUAGUCGGAUCAAAUCAAUAGUUGCAAAUACUACUGAUCGCAAGAGUCUAAUUGCUGAUUUAGCUGCAAAGCUAUUUCCUGCAAAGCAAACUCUUGCAACAGCUGCCUAAUUAUUUAGACAGCCGCUAUUUCCUGGACGUCAGAUACGGGAUACUUAGCGCCAAUUUUUUCUGAACGCUACCUUGACCCUCAUUUGAAGUUAAGGUCUAAGAUUUCCAAGUUGCCGUAAACUGAUAUUUUGUAUGUCUAAAGUUAGUUAACGAAAGAACCAAAAGAUAUACUAAGCUUGUAGUCAUCCAAUGAGUCAACCGACGGACGCGGGGGCGGUACCCGCCAGCUCCUCCA